CUGUGCUAUGCGGGGAGCUAGUGGUGCCCUGUACCUACAAUCCACUACAGUAGGGCAGAAUGCCGCUCGAGGCUUUUUGCGUGUCGCGCAGUCAUGCGUAAGCGGCGUUGACGGUAGGGUCUCGCGCAAUGUUACGCCGUGAACCGUGUCAGGGCCUGACGGCAGCAGCACUAAGCGGAAUGUGGCAUGUGAUGCGAGGUUGCUUUACAAGAGCCGGCUGCGCAAAGGACGGCGGGGCGUAAUCUGUCGAAAGCGGAUGCACAG
rnacentral:SRP_RNA from 1 species